GCAUGCAUCAGAAGUGUACCUCUAGAAAGCAAUAAUGAUGUCUGUAUGCAAAAUAGUACCCUGGAAUAUGGUCAGUGGUUUUGUUUCUAAAUCGAAACAAAUAACAAAUUGAACGAAAAAAUUAAAACGCACAUUUUUA